AUGGAAGCAUUGAAGAAAGAGAGUGAGGAGGCAUGGAAGUGGUUGUCCAACAUACCAGUCCAUACUUGGGCCAGGCAUAGAAUGGAUACUGUAUGCAAGACAGACCUUGUUGUAAACAAUCUUAGUGAAGUUUUCAACAGGAUGAUUCUGGAUGUUAGGAACAAGCCCAUAAGGACAAUGCUUGAAGGAAUUAGGACAAAACUCAUGAUCAAGUUUCAGAAGAUUAGGGAGAAGACAGAGACAUGUAGGUGGGAUAUCACACCCACUUACUCUGAGAUAUUGGAGGAGGCCAAGAACUGGGCAAAAUAUUGUGAUGCAUAUAUGGCUGGACCAGGCAUUUGGCAAGUUACAAGUAGUUCAGAAAAGACCUACUGUGUAAACCUAAACAACUACACUUGUGACUGCAGGAGGUGGGAUAUGACAGCUGUUCCAUGUAGUCAUGCUAUAGCAGCAAUGCAGAAGGUGAAGCUAUACCCUGAAGAUUUUGUCCAUGAGUUCUUCAAGAAGCCCCUCUACUGUGAAACCUACAAGCAUAUUAUAUACCUUGUUCCAGGCCCUGAUUGUUGGCCACACACCAUGGGGGAUGACAUAUCUCCUCCAGUAUUCAAAGAAAAGAAGGGUAAAAAGCAGACAGCUAGGAGGAAAGGACAUUUUGAGGUGCCUGCCAAGGAUACAUCAAGAAUUGGGACAGUGACUUGUAGCAAUUGCAAUAAGCAAGGUCACAGAUAUACCACAUGUGGUGUUCCACUGAAACCCAAACUGCAGAUGAGAAAGAAUAAUCACCAGGUAUGGUUAUUGAUAAAGAAAUUUCUGUUUCGUAGGCUAGGUGAUUUAAUUCUAAUUUGCUUUGUUAAAUGUGCAGGAGAAUAG
rnacentral:rRNA from 1 species